CCCUUAGAUGUUCUGGGCCGCACGCGCGCUACACUGAUGCAUUCAACGAGUCUAAAACCUGGUCUGAUAGGGCUGGGUAAUCUUUUGAAUGUGCAUCGUGAUUGGGAUAGAUGAUUGCAAUUCUUCAUCUUCAACGAGGAAUGCCUAGUAAACGCAAGUCAUCAGCUUGCAUUGAUACGUCCCUGCCCUUUGUACACACCGCCCGUCGCUCCUACCGAUUGAAUGUUCCGAUGAAUACCAUGGACUGAGAGUAUGAAUGGGUUCGCCUAUUUCUGCUUCUCGGGAAGUGGAGUAAAUCUUAACAUUUAGAGGAAGGAGAAGUCGUAACA
rnacentral:rRNA from 1 species